ACUGUCCUAAAGGCUUAGUAAUUGGCGAAGAAGUGAGAAAAUGUAAAUGUUUACUCUCUGUUGUAUUAUUUACAGGAAGUGCUGGCCGUGAACAGACUGGCAGCAGCAGAACAUAUAAACCUGCAACUACUACAAAAACUAUGUCGAUUUUGGAUGCUUUUAAGUCAUCCAGACAGCAACCCUCCCGAAACAUGUCUGCCAAGAAUUAUUCAGAGGUGAUUGAAGAUGAUGAUUCUAAUAUGGAGGUGUCUUUUUCCACUUCUUCUACAAAUCAAAGAUUACCAACCACAUCAACGCAAAGCCAGACGAGCUCUCAGAGCCAAGCAUCAAAAGGUGUUGCCUUUGAAUCAGAUGAGGAUGAAUUAUUUGUUUCCACUUCGAGAAGAAAAAGAUGAUAACUUCCGAAGCCCAAGCAUGGAAGGGAAGUGCAAAAAUUACUUCUCCAAAUUCUGCAAAGGGGACCUGAGAUGUUUGCACCUGGUUCUCUGUAAUUUUACUGUAUUGUCUGGAAACUGGUGGCUUCCUUGAAGGAGAAUUGCUUCCUUACUCUGUAUCUGCAACGCCAUCAGGCCUGCACAAAUAUCCUGCUAAAUGGUAUGAUCCAGAGUUCGCUUGAGUGGAAACGCGUAAAAAGUAAUAUUUCCUCUUAGGGAUGGCAGUUUUCACUGAGGCCUACUUGCUGCUUACUUUGUGAUUCUUAUAAUCUGUCCAGGAGUGUGAAGUUAGGAAUGUUCUGGAGCUGUGUGAGGGAAAAGAGAAUUCAGAAAAAUGGUCCCUCAUUUCUUCCAACAAGAAGUCACCAAACUUCAGUCACUUCCUCGCUAAGGGCAACCUCAAAUAUACCUGAAUGGAGAUGGCCGUUUCUGUAUCCAGCACUUAAAGGCAAAGGAAAUGUGUUACAGCAUUUCUUUCAAAGGGCUCCGGUGUCUUUUUCAUUUUACAGAGGAAUAAAUUAGAACCGGUUGAGUAAGAGAGCA
rnacentral:lncRNA from 1 species